AAUCCCGUGAACCAUCGAGUCUUUGAACGCAAGUUGCGCCCGAGGCCAUCAGGCUAAGGGCACGCCUGCCUGGGCGUUGCGUGCUGCAUCUCUCUCCCAUUGCUAAGGCUGAACAGGCAUACUGUUCGGCCGGCGCGGAUGAGUGUUUGGCCCCUUGUUCUUCGGUGCGA
rnacentral:rRNA from 1 species